rnacentral:rRNA from 1 species
UACGAAGGGGGCUAGCGUUGUUCGGAAUUACUGGGCGUAAAGCGCACGUAGGCGGAUACUUAAGUCAGGGGUGAAAUCCCGGGGCUCAACCCCGGAACUGCCUUUGAUACUGGGUAUCUCGAGUCCGGAAGAGGUGAGUGGAACUGCGAGUGUAGAGGUGAAAUUCGUAGAUAUUCGCAAGAACACCAGUGGCGAAGGCGGCUCACUGGCCCGGUACUGACGCUGAGGUGCGAAAGCCGUGGGGAGCAAACAGGG